CUUGGAGACAGCGGCCCCGCCCACGCCCCCCGAGCCGCUCUGCGGGCCGGCUCCGCGACACGCGCUUCCCGCGGGGCCAAUCAGCGGCCGCGCCGCUGUCACGCGGCGGGCGCGGGAGAAGCUGCUGACUGCUGGUGUAUGGUGAGGAUGAUGAUCAGAGUGAAGAUGCAACAGGAGUGCUCGCACUAAACAGAUUCGUGCCAGCUGGUCAGCCUGGAGAUGGUCAAGUUUCAUAGGCAGUGUGGCAUUUCGUCACUUAAUGAUAGUGGGAUGAUGUGUGCAGGGACAAAAUAAACACAAAAAUGGGAUGCACGGGGGCAGCUUUUAUGGCUUGGAAGAUGGUAAAGAAAGGGCAGAAUGGUCAGUGGGAGGAGGUGCUGGAUGCCCAGAAUGAAUGACUGUUCCCGAGAAUCUCAGUCACUUCAGUAAAGGCUAAAAAUCUUACCAUUGCUCUAGUUUUCUAGCCUUCACCCUUGCUUGAUUGUGAUUCACCUGGGGGAGAUGACAACGUGGAAAAUUCAGCUGGUGUUAGACAUCUUCAUGAAAACAGCAGCUUUCCAGAGAAGAGCAGGAACCAUGCUGGGGCACUCAUGAAGGGACAGAACACUGGACCUGAGCUUGGCCAAGGUCGGUGGCAGCCCUGGGUGCAUUGGAGCCGGACCGGUAAGGAGCCAGGAGGGCACGGGGUAGGAUUUGAUGUACUGCUGGAAGAUUGUGAGAUAGAGCUAUGCUGCUUGCAGGCCAGUUGGGGUUUGAUGGGCUUUUUUUGUUUGUUCUUAAGGAAAUCAAAGUAUUUGAGUUUUAAGGCAGUAGUGCUUUGGUCUUGUAGUAGUAGAGAGUAUGAGGAGUGGCUGAUGGAACUGGAAUUGUUCAGUCUGGAGAAGAGGAGGCUCAGGGGAGACCUUAAUUCUCUCUACAACUACUUGAAAGGAAGUUGUGGUGAGGUGGGGGUCAGUCUCUUCUUCCAUGCAACUCGCGAUAGGACGAGAGGGAAUGGCCUCAAGUUGUGCCAGGGGAGGAUGCUAGGAAAAAUUUCUUCUCCAAAAGAGUGAUCAGGCACUGGAACAGGCUGCCCAGGGGUGUGGUAGAGUCACCAUCCCUGGAGGUGUUCAAGAAAUGUUUAGAUGUUGUACUGAAGGACAUGAUUUAGUGGGGAAAUGUUGGUGGUUGGUGGGCACUUGGACUGGAAGAUCUUGGAGGUCUUUUCCAAUCUUGGUCAUUCUAUGAUUCUGUGAUUCUCUGAGCCAGCUGAGUGCUAUGCUUUAAGCCUUACUGAAGUCAAGGAGCUAUGUAGAAAGGUGAGAUAGCAGCUCUCCACAGACCUCAUCGUAGGACCAGAGCCAAGAUCUGCAAUGAUGAAUGCUGGUAAUUGGUGCUUGCCAUCUUGAAUCGUAGAAUCAUAGAAUGGCCUGGGUUGAAAAGGACGUGAAAGAUCAUCUAGUUUCAAUCCCCCUGCUGAGUACAGGGUCGCCAACCACUAGACCAGGCUGCCCAGAGCCAUG